rnacentral:rRNA from 1 species
GACGAACGCUGGCGGCGUGCUUAACACAUGCAAGUCGAACGGAAAGGCCCUGCUUUUGUGGGGUGCUCGAGUGGCGAACGGGUGAGUAACACGUGAGUAACCUGCCCUUGACUUUGGGAUAACUUCAGGAAACUGGGGCUAAUACCGGAUAGGAGCUCCUGCUGCAUGGUGGGGGUUGGAAAGUUUCGGCGGUUGGGGAUGGACUCGCGGCUUAUCAGCUUGUUGGUGGGGUAGUGGCUUACCAAGGCUUUGACGGGUAGCCGGCCUGAGAGGGUGACCGGCCACAUUGGGACUGAGAUACGGCCCAGAAUCCUACGGGAGGCAGCAGUGGGGAAUAUUGCACAAUGGGCGGAAGCCUGAUGCAGAAACGCCGCGUGCGGGAUGACGGCCUUCGGGUUGUAAACCGAUUUCGCCUGUGACGAAGCGUGAGUGACGGUAAUGGGUAAAGAAGCACCGGCUAACUACGUG